UACGUAGGGUGCAAGCGUUAAUCGGAAUUACUGGGCGUAAAGCGUGCGCAGGCGGUGAUGUAAGACAGGUGUGAAAUCCCCGGGCUUAACCUGGGAACUGCCCUCCAAACUGUUUGACUUGAGUCCGGGAGAGGUGAGUGGAAUUCCCAGUGUAGCGGUGAAAUGCGUAGAUAUUGGGAGGAACACCAGUGGCGAAGGCGGCUCACUGGACCGGAACUGACGCUGAGGCGCGAAAGCGUGGGGAGCAAACAGG
rnacentral:rRNA from 1 species